CACAACCAGACCUUCUGGCCGGCAGCCCUGUGGCUAUCAACACUUCUGUCUUGCCAUAAAAUGCUUACACAAUUUCAAAAACUGCAUAUCUAAGGCUCUGGUCUGUCCAAUAAGUGGGGGUAAAUGGUAAACAUGCUCUCUGCUAUCCACGUUAUAUUUUUUAUUUUGGGUAUAGGGGAGGGUCACCUUUUUUAAGCGUCAGGGAGGGUUUAGGUAAAAUAUGUUUUGCUGAAAGGGGAGGACCAUCCAUUUUCAUUUCAGAGAGGUCCGAUUUUCAGAGAGGUGUCUUCUUAUAAAUAACGUUCACAACCCUUACUAUGCUCGUUACCAAUGAGUAGAUGGGAUGGGGCAGGACAUGCAGUGCGUCAAGCAUCUCAAAUAAAACCAAAAAACUGUCUACACAGACGCCCGGACUACGGAGAUGCCGGUUGAUGAGCGGGAGCAGCUUGGAUGAAAUGAUUGAAUAACACUUAUGUGUACAUUUAUUUCGUUGCGCUCGCACACGCAACCUGGGCGGUCUAGUCACGGAGUCAAGCGCUUCAUGGUGGAUUCAUUAGAGGAGUUUCUCUAGUUUCAAGAAACUUUAUUCUAAUAUGUACAUGUACUAGGCUAUAGAUACAGUAUGUUUACGAUUGUAGCCUAAAAUACGCUGAUUUCAAGAUAAUAGUGUGGAACACACACACUUGGAAAGACUAACGCAGUGAGAAAGGAGCCACGCACUCAGGGUUAGGAUUUACUGGAACCAGGACAUAUCCAUCCUUUUAGUGACGUAGUUCAUCCGGAUUGUGGGAAUCCCAUUGAACUGACCAGGGGCUGCAGUGGAGCAGGUUGAGAGCUUCAAGUUCCUUGAUGUCCACAUCACCAACAAACCAACAUGGUCCAAAGACACCAUGACAGUCGUGAAGCAGGCACGACAAAACCUAUUCCUCCUCAGGAGACUGAAAAGAUUUGGCAUGGGUCCUCAGAUCCUUACAAGGUUCAACAGCUGCACCAUCGAGGGCAUCCUGACUGGUUGCAUCACUGCCUGGUAUAACUGCUCGGCCUUCGACCGUAAGGCACUACAGAGGGUUGUGCGAACGGCCCAGUACAUCCAGGACCUCUAUACCAGGCUGUGUCAGAGGAAGGCCGGGAAAAUUGUCAAAGACUCCAGCCACCCUAGUCAUAGAUUGUUCUCUCUGCUACCACAAAUGCAAGCGGUACCGGAGCGCCAAGUCUAGGUCCAAGAGGCUUCUAAACAGCUUCUACCUCCAAGCCAUAAGACUCCUGAACAUCUAGUCAAAUGGCUACCCAGACUAUUUACAUAUCCCCCCUCCACACCACUGCCACUCUGUGUUGUCAUCUAUGCAUUGUCACUUUAAUUAACUCUACCUACAUGUACAUACUUCCUCAACUAACCGGUGCCCCGGCACAUCCACUCUGUACCGGCACCCCCCUGUAUAUAUUGUUCUUUUCUACUGCUGCUCUUUAAUUACUUGUUACUUGUUACUUUUCUCUUAUUCUUUUCCGUAUUUUUUUUUAAACUGCACUGUCGGUUAGGGGCUCGUAAGUAAGCAUUUCACUGUAAGGUUGUAUUUGGCGCAUGUGACUAAUAAAACUUUAUUGGAUAAGAGUGUGCCAAAUAUGUGACCAUUGCUGUACAUUCAUACCCCAGGGUGAGGGUAACUUUACUAUUGUAGUGGAACAUCUGAAAUAGUUCAGUGGUGAUUGGAAUCUGUUUGGAUGCGUUCAGUAAUUAUCUGGUGUUAUGGGAGCUACAAUAUAUAUAAAUUGGUUGAUUUAUGGCUUAGUUAUUAUUAUUUUUUCAUUAAUGCUGAUUAUAACUUGUGGUAAGAAAUUGUGCAGCAAAGCCGUUGAGACUAUUCUUGCCAUGCCAUUACUGACCCCUGAAGGAGCC
rnacentral:lncRNA from 1 species